UCUGGUAGACCGCUAAUUAAUAACUCGAGUUCCUUAUCAUGAAAAACAGAAAUGAGAUCCCGCGGAAUCAGUUCACUGAAUCCUUCCAGAAAAGCAUUUAUCUGAGGGCGGAUAGCAGUCGUUAACCGAUGUUCAGCAACUAAGUCAACAUAUUGUUGCUUAUUUUCCUCGGUAACUCUAAUAUUUCGUCCACCUGGAAUCAGUUAACCGAUGUUCAGCAACUAAGUCAACGUACUGUUGCUUAUUUUCCUCGGUAACUCUAAUAUUUCGUCCACCUGGAAUCAGUUCGUAGUCAGUAACCU
rnacentral:lncRNA from 1 species